rnacentral:lncRNA from 1 species
CUGGUGAAGAGGCUCGUCCAGGCCAGGGACACUGUCUGCCUCCAGCCCACCUUGGACGUCUUCUGCCCCGAGGACCUGCAGCUGCCCCAGGGCCACUGCCAUACUUGGGCCCUGGCCAUUCUGCAGGCACGGCAAAGCACAGCCGACAGCAGGGCCCUCACCAGGGAUGCCAUCAACUAUCUCUGGCCAUCUUCGCUGCAGGAAACCGUGGCCAACAUCGUCUCUGCCCUGAAGCUGGACCUGGCUGCUGUGGUCCCUGAGCUCCACUCUCUGAGGCGCGACGCCCAGGGCCUCCUCGUGCAGGGCCUGGAGGCUCACUGCUGGGCCCUGCUGAGCUGGCCCCUCUGGGAGGACAACGCCCAGGGCCUUCUGGCCGCUGGGGAGGCACUGGUCCAGAUGGACGGCGCACAGCCCAGUGGGCACCUGCUGCUGGCUGACGCCCUCAUGGCGCUGGGUAUGCCCGGCCUGCGCCACCCUCUGACCUGAUCAGCAGGGAAAGCGACCCUGGAUGGCAGUGACUUCUGAGGCCUCAGCCAUGACCGCUGACCCCCUUCUGUGCCCCGUGGAGGCCCGGCUCUGCCCGGGUGGCCUUGCCCCACAUCACCCUGGUGCUGUGCCAGCAGCUUCCUGAGAGCGGGGUCCCCACUUCCGGUUCUGCUGAGGCUAGUUGGGGGACGACCCCUUGUGGUGUCCAUGGAGGAGAGGCAGGGGCUGUGUCAGCAGGUGAAUCCUAGUUCCUCUGCCCGCAGCCCCUCGCCCACGCCCACCCAGCGCCCCCCACCCCUACAAGCAGCUACCAGGCAGCCUGUGCCCGUCUGCAGGGGCCCUGCGCCCUGCUCGGGUGUCCGCGACGGCCGGAGGGAGGCCUGGGCCAGCUGAAGCAGGGAGAUGCGCGGGCUGUUGCCCGGGACCUGCAGGGCCUGGCGGAGCCAGAUGCCAGGGACCUGGGCUUCCUGCUGCGGCUGCUGGAGGCCUCCCAGCGGCAAAGCCUCGCCCAGCAUUUCCAACAAUCCUAUCCACAGUGAAAGCCUGGUGACUACUUCAUUCCCACCCUUGCCUUCCUGCAAACACAGUGGAAUCAGGCGGGUGCUCCAGGACCACAACUGCCUGCAGACGCUGCUGCAGCACCCGACCUCGCACAGCCUGACCAUCAUGAGCAACGCGUGCAGCACGCUCUGGAACCUGUGGGCCCACAGCCACGCGGGACCAGGAGCUGCUGUGGGACCUGGGCGCCGUGGGCAUGCUGCGCAACCUGGUGCACUCCAGGCACAAGAUGAUCGCCAUGGGCAGUGCCGUUGCCCUGUGCAACCUGCUGGCCCACCUGCCCGCCAAGCACCACCGGCUGCCAUGGCCAUGUCCCUGGCACCUGCGUGCCCAGCCUCUGCCUGCUAGAGCAGCCGGCACUGGAGGCGGAGCUUGACGCCCUGUGCCUGGCGCAGGUACUCACCCUGCCCAAGGCCGAGGCCGCCGCCAAGAAGCCGCUGCCACCCCUGCAGCACCUGGACGGGCUGGCUCCGGACUAUGCCUCCAACUCAGGCUGCUUUGAGGACAACGACGUGCUGUCCCUGGCCGCCGCCACCGCCGAGCCCACCAGCCCGGCCGUGCUGCUCUUCCUGGGCAGCCCCUUCCUGCAGGGCCAGGUGCCGGCUCGCACCCCACCAGCCCGCCAGGCCUGGAGCCUGAGAAGGAGGCCGGCGGUCAGGCAGGUGAGGCGGCCCUGGUGGCCAAGGCCAAAGCCGAGCUGGCGUUGAUGGUGGCGUGGAUCGACCAUCUGGUGGAGGACAUCUCCGCCUUGCACACUUCCUCUGACAACAGCUUCAGCCUCAGCUCCGGGGACCCCCGGGCAGGAGGCGCUGAGGGAGGGCCGGGCACAGUCCUGCUUGCUCUGCUGCUGCCCCAAGGGUGGCCGGCAGGAGGUGGGGGGGGCGGGUGGACCCCUUGCUCUGGUUCAAGGCGGCCCACGCCAGCCUGUCCAACGCCAGCCUGUCCAAGGACAACCUCAACAGCGGCAGCACCAGCGAUGGCUACUGCCCGCGGGAGCACAUGCAGCCCUGUCCGCUGGCCGCGCUGGCCGAGCGCUGCGAGGAGCUGCUGGGCGGGCAGCUGCGGCUCGCUCGGCUGGACCUUGACCUUGACGUGCCGCUGCUGGAGGCCAUGGGCAGGGCAGGCGCGGGGGCCCCUGGCGGCCCCGAGCCCCCCCCAUCCGUGGCCCGGAAGCAGUCCUGGCUGCCAGCAGAGGGCCUGAGCCAGGUGCCUGAGAAGCUGGGGGCCGGCCGGCCACCCUUGGCCAGCAGGGCACUGCAGAGGCUGGUGGUGCAGGGGGUCCCUCUCGCUGUCCUCGCUAUUCUCGGCCAGACGCCCAGGCCCCAGCGAGGCCGCAGACCUGGACAGUGACUCCUCCCUCAAGGGCCUGGAGGAUGGCCCUGAAGAGGCGGAGUUGGACGGGGCAUGGUGGGGGCCAGGGGCCGCCUCCCUGCCCAUGGCCGUCCAGGUGCCCCGGCGGGGCCGCAGCCAGGGCCUGGGCGUGGAGGACGCCACAGCGUCCAGCUUGUCAGAGAACUGUGUGCAGGAGACGCCACUGGUGCUGAGCCGCUGCAGCUCCAUGAGCUCCCUGGGCAGCUUCAAGAGCCUGUCCAUCACCAGCUCCAUCCCCAGCGACCCCUGCAGCAGGCUGGGCAGUGGCACAGUGAGCCCCAGUGAGCUGCCCAACAGCCCCCGGCAGACCAUGCCGCCCAGCCACAGCAAGAUGCCGUCGGCCGCGCCGUCCGGCCAGCCUGAGAGCAGCCAGGUCAGCCUGCAGUGGGAGAGCCAUGGGAAGUGCUCCCUGGUCAUCGCCGACUGCCUUGAGCACUGCCGCCCGCCAUCCUAGCUGCACACCAGCAAAGUCCGCUUCACCGUGGAGAAGCCAGAGGAGAACUUCUGCGCCUCCAGCCUCAGCGUGCUGGCCCUGCACGAGCACUCCCUGCAGCAGGUCGUGGAGCUGCGGCUGCUGCUGCCCACCUGCCCUGACCGCAGCACUGGCAGGGGUGGCGGUGGCGGUGGGCACCGCCUGCGAGAAGAAGCCGCCAGAUGCCAGGAGGGGCCGGUGCCCACAGGCUCCCUCACCCAUGCAGCGCGGACAAGGAGCUGGAGAUGCUGUGCUAGUGCCUGGGGGUGGCUGUGCCUGCGCAGCUCCACAAGGUGGCCUCGGCACUGGUGCUCGGCCUCCGGGCGCUGGCCAUCAAUGUCUAUAUGCUGGUGCCCACCCUGGCCCGGGAGGACGACUCGUGCACCGACACGCCAGUCAACUUCUGCUGUGCCACGUCCCUCAGUGAGGAGACCCUGCAAAGGCCCCCCAGGGAGCAAUCUGAGGCCAGCUGGACAGGCAGGAGCCCCCCGGCCUCGCGACCCCCUCCAGCCAGGUCUCGGGGCACUGGCUCAAGGCUGGGUGUACCAGCUGGAGCCCGGAGCAGGCCCGGGGCACAGGCAGGAGCCGGGCUGGGCUGGAGCUGCCCCUGGGCAGGCCCCCAAGGGCCCAAAGGACUGGGCUGGAGGGGAAGGAGGGAGGCAGUCCCUGUGCCUCAGGACACCCACUGAGGAGGGCGAGGAGGGCGUGUACUGCUUCUAGGACUCUGAAGAGGCACCCUCCUUGGCCUGGCCGCUCCCACGGUGCGGCCAUCCGUCAUCCCACAGGCCCUGAAGCAGGGUGGGAAGGAGGCCCCGGCCCCAGCCAAGGAGCCCCCUGGGCCCAGCCCCGGCUGAUCCCCGAGGAUACCCCACCUUGCUACUCCCUGAGCUCCUCUGCCAGCUCGCUUAGUGUGCCUGAGCCCUAUCAGGAGCCAGCCAGAAACCUGAGAGGCCCUGAGCCCACAGUCCCCCAGGCCCUGCGCCGGGGAAGUGGACAUGACAGCUCCCCCAGCCCGCGGUCCAAGGAGGAGCUCCUGCACCUCUGCAUAGGCUCAGCCACAACCAGGUGCCGCCCCAGGCCUCUGGCCCCCUGUGCCCUCUGCCUGCAGGAUGGGCAGCCGGCAGAGGCACCCCGGGACUGCAGAAGGAGGCUGCCGGCUCAGACAGGGCCUUUGACCUGGAAAGCAUCCAGUGGCGGGCCAUCCAGGAGGGCACCAACUCCAUGGUCACAUGGCUGUACCAGGCGGCUGCGGUAGCCCCCCGCGAGGCCUCCUCCCACUCCGACUCCCUCCUGUCCCUGGGGUCUGCACUGGAGGAUUAAUUUUCAACAUGAGUUUGGAGGCAACACACACACAAAGACAAGUACAAUAGCUAUAAACAACAGUAAAACUAUCAUACUUUUUUUUUUCAGGGAUAAUAAAUCUAUUUUAAUAAUGUUACUUUUUUUUGAC